rnacentral:rRNA from 1 species
AGAGUUUGAUCCUGGCUCAGGAUGAACGCUGGCGGCGUGCCUAACACAUGCAAGUCGAACGGGAGUAGUAAUACUCUAGUGGCGCACGGGUGAGGAACACGUAGCUAACCUGCCCCGAAGUGCGGGAUAACGUUCCGAAAGGAACGCUAAUACCGCAUAAGCUCACGUUCUGUAGAGGGAUGUGAGAAAAGGUUAAUCGCUUUGGGAGGGGGCUGCGGCCUACCAGGUAGUUGGUGGGGUAAAAGCCUACCAAGCCGACGACGGGUAGGGGGUCUGAGAGGAUGAUCCCCCACACUGGGUCUGAGACACGGCCCAGACUCCUACGGGAGGCAGCAGUGAGGGAUAUUGCACAAUGGGGGAAACCCUGAUGCAGCGACGCCGCGUGGGUGAUGAAGGCCUUCGGGUCGUAAAACCCUUUUCCAGGUGACGAGGAAGGACGGUAGCCUGGGAAGAAGUCUCGGCUAACUACGUGCCAGCAGCCGCGGUAAAACGUAGGAGGCAAGCGUUAUCCGGAGUUACUGGGCGUAAAGCGCGCGCAGGUGGUUGAAUAAGUGGGGCGUGAAAUAUCCCGGCUAAACCGGGAGGGGACGAACCAGACUAUUCGACUGGAGUGCAGUAGAGGAACGCGGAAUUCGGGGUGUAGCGGUGAAAUGUGCAGAGAUCCCGAGGAACACCAGAGGUGAAGACGGCGUUCUGGGCU